AUCCAGGUAUCCCGAGGAUGAAGGCUUAAUCUGUGAAGCUAUAGACGAAGAAGCGGAGGACGAAGCCGAUAUCGUUCAAACUGGAACCAAUCUGAACAGUUAGAUAUAAGCAAUAGUCAAGACGAAGCCGGAAACAAACAAGAUAACUUUAAUAAGGAACAAGACGAAACAGAACAAGAUGUUCAGAACAAACUAGCAGAGACAACAACUAAAGACCAUGACAUUUCACAGAAAACUGUUGAGCCUUCCUCUCUCAUGUCUCUUGCUCAGAUCUAUCAAAAGGAAGAUCC